AACGAACGCUGGCGGCAUGCCUAACACAUGCAAGUCGAACGAGAUCUUCGGGUCUAGUGGCGCACGGGUGCGUAACGCGUGGGAAUCUGCCCUUUGGUUCGGAAUAACAGUUGGAAACGACUGCUAAUACCGGAUGAUGACGAAAGUCCAAGGAUUUAUCGCCAGAGGAUGAGCCCGCGUAGGAUUAGCUAGUUGGUGUGGUAAAGGCGCACCAAGGCGACGAUCCUUAGCUGGUCUGAAAGGAUGAUCAGCCACACUGGGACUGAGACACGGCCCAGACUCCUACGGGAGGCAGCAGUGGGGAAUAUUGGACAAUGGGCGAAAGCCUGAUCCAGCAAUGCCGCGUGAGUGAUGAAGGCCUUAGGGUUGUAAAGCUCUUUUACCCGGGAUGAUAAUGACAGUACCGGGAGAAUAAGCUCCGGCUAACUCCGUGCCAGCCGCCGCGGUAA
rnacentral:rRNA from 1 species